GUCUCAAGUCAAAAAGGCCUUAAAUUUAUUUAAAAACAUAUUUAAGCCCCUGCGCAAGGAUGACACGCAAAUUCGUGAAGCGUUCCAUAUUUUU
rnacentral:snRNA from 1 species